UGUGUGUGUGUGUGUGUGUGUGUGUGCGUUUGUUUGUAAUACCUUGUGGGGACGAUUUUCCUGACAUAUACUAUGUUGUGGGGACCAAUGGGAUAUAUGCCACGGACUUCCGUUUUAGCACUUCCGCAUUUUUUAGCCACAUAGACACUUCCGGUGCGCAGGCAACAGUAUGUUAACAGUGGCCUCUCAGUCGCUGCAUGACUAUUAAUGAUGCCUAUAAAAUUAUUCAGACGUCCUGAAACGCUCCAACAACAACAAAGGAUUUAAGCUGGAUGUGUCAAAACGUCACUAUAACUUCGAAGUUGGAGUUGGACAGGAGUUCUGUUUGGUGGCUUCCUGGAGGGAGAGAUCUGCUGAGCUAAUGUUGCCAACAACUUUUCUCCUGUUAUUAACGUUUUGCUUGUCUUUAUAUAGAAAGUAUUUCUAUCAGUAGCUCUUUCCAUUUUGUUUACAGUAUUUGCUCUAUUUUUUAUUUUUACCUUAAUGCUUACCUGGUCAGUUGAGGUGGAAAUGUACAUCCUAUUGAUUACUGACAAAUGUCAGAACCACAUGGACUGAGCUGGUUACGUCAGAUCAGUCUGAAUCUUUAUUUCUCAUUAAAACGACUUCUUGUAAUUUUGAGACAUUAUUAUAAAAUUGCAUCUUUAUUCUGCUGUAACGAUGACUGCAUUCUUGCAAUUAAAAAAUCGUGUAUCCUGACCAUAAUGCUUCCUUAUACAACUCACAGAACAGAUGAUUGAAAUAAAGGCACUUUUUGAAAAUAUUUUCUGUGAUUUUAUUAUAGAAAUUGAGGAUGGGAGGUAUUGAUUAAAAUCAAAUCUGAUAUGAAAAAAAAUCUUGUAAGUCAUAUCAUCAAGCCUUAUUCAGUAUAUGAAAUUAUAUGACUAACUGCAUAUUAGUUAAUAUUCACAUUUCUUUGCUGGUAUUACCUAAAAGUGUUGCAUUUUAACAUCUCACUUGAACUCCUGAUCUACAUGCAAAUACUUGAUAUAACAUAAAAACUGAGAAAUGGGGAAAAAAGGUUUGUGAAAUGUAGAGUAUUACAAAUGAGAUUCAAUUUUAUUGUAGGUACAAACAGGAUAGCAAAAUGAACAUUGAAUAUACAAUGUACUUCCUAGCAGCUAAUCAGACAUCAGACUUGUUUGCCUUUACUGGUGAUGAAAACUCGUCACUCUGGAGGAGAGGAGGACCGGCUCAGCCCUGUCCAGGAUGACAACAGUGUCAGGGUAGCCAACAAAGUCUGCAGGCAGAUUUUUGCAUAUCUGGUGCUCCGGUGUGAAGAUCAUAGUUUAACCAAGUAAAAAAAAAGUUAGUCCAUGUUGUGAUGAUCCGGCAGACAGUGGACUGAUGGACGCCAUCAGCUGGUCCAGGUGAUUGGAUCCAAUGGAAAGGUAAUCAGCACAGCGAUCAUGGCUCAGAAACACAUCAUGAGGUGUUGCGAUGCAAACCUGAAAAAUUAAAAACACAAAAAACCCAAUAAGCGUCCAUAUUUAGCUGAACAACGUAAUCAAAACUAAUAAAUCCUCAGCUCUUUUCGAGAGUUUUUCUUGAAAAUAAAUUGACAAUAUCUCAAGAAAUUAAACGUUUAAGUGAAAUAGUUCUGGUAUCACAAAGACACUGCAAAAAAAUGUUUCAGAGGUGUAAAAACACUGAAGUUACUGAGUAAGAGUGAAAUUAAAUAUUUACUACACAGAAAAUGCAUGUUAAAAUCUGAAUACUCUUGAAAGUGUGCAGCUGAAAUUAAUUUAAACUACUAGCAGGCAAAGCACAGUGUUCGCCUAAUAUCUGCACCAACAGUAAUACAAAAAAUUAUGCAUAUAAGGCAUUAGUUUAUAAAAGUCGAGGCAAACCUAAAUUUACCAUUUUAAAAACAAAAAGCAGCGGGAGGAUGUAACUUCAUAACCUCAUUUUCUAUGCAGAAUCUCAGAGAGA